rfam:Macaca mulatta chromosome 10, whole genome shotgun sequence.
UUUGUAGUGUAAAUAUGUCCCAGGCAAGAUUUGGGACAUACUUACACUAAAA